CCUACGGGUGGCUGCAGUGAGGAAUAUUGCACAAUGGAGGAGAGCCUGAUGCAGCGACGCCGCGUGAGUGAAGACUUCAUUCGUUGUGGUAAACUCUAUCAACAUGGGAGUAAAUGACGGUACCUGAGUAAUAAGCCCCGGCUAACUACGAGCCAGCAGCCGCGAUACUACGUAGGGGGCAAGCGUUAUCCGGAUUUACUGGGUGUAAAGGGGGCGUAGGCGGAAGUGCAAGUCUGUAGUGAAAGGCGGGGGCUCAACCCCCGGAUUGCACUGGAAACUGUAAGUCUGGAGUGCAGGAGAGGUAAGUGGAAUUCCUGGUGUAGCGGUGAAAUGCGUAGAUAUGAGGAAGAACUCCAGUGGCGAAGGCGGUUUACUGGACUGUAACUGACGUUGAGGCUCGAAAGCGUGGGGAGCAAACAGGAUUAGAUACCCUUGUAGUC
rnacentral:rRNA from 1 species